UACGGGGGGGGUAAGCGUUGUUCGGAAUUAUUGGGCGUAAAGGGCUCGUAGGCGGUUUGUCGCGUCGGGAGUGAAAACACCGGGCUUAACUCGGUGCUUGCUUUCGAUACGGGCAGACUAGAGGCAUGCAGGGGGAGAACGGAAUUCCUGGUGUAGCGGUGAAAUGCGCAGAUAUCAGGAGGAACACCGAUGGCGAAGGCAGGUCUCUGGGCAUUAACUGACGCUGAGGAGCGAAAGCAUGGGGAGCGAACAGG
rnacentral:rRNA from 1 species